rnacentral:rRNA from 1 species
UUACGGGAGGCAGCAGUAGGGAAUCUUCCACAAUGGGCGAAAGCCUGAUGGAGCAACGCCGCGUGAGUGAAGAAGGUUUUCGGAUCGUAAAGCUCUGUUGUUGGUGAAGAAGGAUAGAGGUAGUAACUGGCCCCUAUUGACGGUAAUC